UACGUAGGGGGCAAGCGUUGUCCGGAAUUAUUGGGCGUAAAGCGCUCGUAGGCGGGACUGGAAGUCCGUGUUGAAAGACCUCGGCUCAACUGAGGGACCGGCUCGGAUACUCUAGUUCUUGAGGCAAUCAGAGGGUGAUGGAAUUCCCGGUGUAGCGGUGAAAUGCGUAGAGAUCCGGAAGAACACCGGUGGCGAAGGCGGCCCGCUGGGCAACUGCUGACACUGAGGCGCGACAGCGUGGGGAGCAAACAGG
rnacentral:rRNA from 1 species